GUUAUAGGAUCAAGCGACUAAGUGCAUCUGGUGGAUGCCUUGGCGAUGAUAGGCGAAGAAGGACGCGUUAGCCUGCGAAAAGCGAUGGGGAGCUGGCAAAUAAGCUUUGAUCCAUCGAUAUCCGAAUGGGGAAACCCGGCCCUUUUGGGUCACUCAUCACUGAAUACAUAGGUGGUGUAGAGCGAACUCGGCGAACUGAAACAUCUAAGUAGCCGAAGGAAAAGAAAUCAACCGAGAUUCCCAAAGUAGUGGCGAGCGAAAUGGGAAGAGCCUGCAUGUGAUAGAUCAAACUUUAGUGGAACAGUCUGGAAAGUCUGGCGAUAGUGGGUGAUAGCCCCGUACACGAAAGAGAUUGGUUGGUACUAAGCAUGCGAGAAGUAGGGCGGGACACGAGAAAUCCUGUUUGAAGAUGGGGGGACCAUCCUCCAAGGCUAAAUACUCAUCAUCGACCGAUAGUGAACCAGUACCGUGAGGGAAAGGCGAAAAGAACCCCGGGAGGGGAGUGAAAUAGAACCUGAAACCGGAUGCAUACAAACAGUGGGAGCCCUUGCAAAAUGGGGUGACUGCGUACCUUUUGUAUAAUGGGUCAGCGACUUACGUUCAGUAGCGAGCUUAACCGAGUAGGGGAGGCGUAGGGAAACCGAGUCCGAAUAGGGCGCAUAGUUGCUGGGCGUAGACCCGAAACCAAGUGAUCUAUCCAUGGCCAGGAUGAAGCUGCGGUAAUACGCAGUGGAGGUCCGAACCCACUAAUGUUGCAAAAUUAGGGGAUGAGCUGUGGAUAGGGGUGAAAGGCUAAACAAACUUGGAAAUAGCUGGUUCUCCUCGAAAACUAUUUAGGUAGUGCCUCAUGUAUCACUGACGGGGGUAAAGCACUGUUAUGGCUAGGGGGUCAUCGCGACUUACCAAACCAUGGCAAACUCUGAAUACCGUCAAGUGCGAGCAUGGGAGACAGACUGUGGGUGCUAACGUCCAUGGUCAAGAGGGAAACAACCCAGAUCGCCGUCUAAGGUCCCAAAUAAUCAGUUAAGUGGAAAACGAGGUGGGAAGGCAUAGACAGCCAGGAUGUUGGCUUAGAAGCAGCCAUCAUUUAAAGAAAGCGUAAUAGCUCACUGGUCGAGUCGUCCUGCGCGGAAGAUGUAACGGGGCUCAAACUGAUAACCGAAGACGCGAAUUUAGGAGUCAGCUUUCAGGCUUCAGGAGUCAAACGAUGGUUCAACGUGUAGAAGAAUUGGACGUGUUUAAGAAAGCCUAUGUGGUCUCCUUAGAGAUUCAUCGGAUGAGCUUAAGCUUUCCAAAGAUUGAACAAUACGCGUUGGGUGAUCAAAUACGACGAUCGAGUAAAAGCAUUGUUGCAAAUCUUGCAGAAGGAUUUGGCAAACAAGGCUACUUGAAAGGAGAAUUUUUACGCUUCAUUUUUAUUGCCUUAGGCAGUGCAGAUGAAGUGCGAGUUUGGCUACGAUAUAGCAUGGAUUUAGGAUACAUCAGUGAAACAGACUGGCAACGUUGGCGCGAUCAAUAUGAAGAGAUCGCCAAGAUGUUGCAUGGUUUAGGCAAAUCACUGAAACCCGAACCCUGAAAGCUGGCUCCUAAAUGGUAGAGGAGCGUUCCGUAGGCCUGCGAAGGUGUCUUGAGAAGGAUGCUGGAGGUAUCGGAAGUGCGAAUGCUGACAUGAGUAGCGAUAAUGCGGGUGAAAAGCCCGCACACCGAAAACCCAAGGUUUCCUGCGCAACGUUCAUCGGCGCAGGGUGAGUCGGCCCCUAAGGCGAGGCAGAAAUGCGUAGUCGAUGGACAACGGGUUAAUAUUCCCGUACCGAUAUGAAGUGCGAUGGGGGGACGGAGAAAGGUAGGUCAGCCAUCUGUUGGAAUAGGUGGUUUAAGCGAGUAGGCGUGUGGCUUAGGCAAAUCCGGGCUGCUAUAACGCUGAGACGUGACGACGAAGUCUUCGGACUGAAGUGAUUGAUCCUAUGCUUCCAAGAAAAGCCUCUAAGCUUCAGCUUUAUAUUGACCGUACCGCAAACCGACACAGGUGGGUAGGAAGAGAAUUCUAAGGUGCUUGAGAGAACUCAGGAGAAGGAACUCGGCAAAUUAUCACCGUAACUUCGGGAGAAGGUGAGCCCAGAGUAUGUGAAGUUCUUCGCGAAUGGAGCAGAAAUGGGUCGCAGAGAAAUGGGGGCUGCGACUGUUUAUCAAAAACACAGCACUCUGCAAAGUCGAAAGACGACGUAUAGGGUGUGACGCCUGCCCGGUGCUGGAAGAUUAAAUGAUGGGGUGCAAGCUCUUGACUGAAGUCCCAGUAAACGGCGGCCGUAACUAUAACGGUCCUAAGGUAGCGAAAUUCCUUGUCGGGUAAGUUCCGACCCGCACGAAUGGCGUAACGAUGGCCCUACUGUCUCCUCCUGAGACUCAGCGAAGUUGAAAUGUUUGUGAAGAUGCAAUCUCCCCGCUGCUAGACGGAAAGACCCCGUGAACCUUUACUGUAGCUUUGCAUUGGACUUUGAAGUGGUUUGUGUAGGAUAGGUGGGAGGCUAUGAAGCGUGGACGCUAGUCUGCGUGGAGCCGACCUUGAAAUACCACCCUGACCCCUUUGAGGUUCUAACCUUGGUCCGUUAUCCGGAUCGGGGACCGUGCAUGGUAGGCAGUUUGACUGGGGCGGUCUCCUCCCAAAUUGUAACGGAGGAGCUCGAAGGUCGCCUAGGUACGGUCGGACAUCGUACUGAUAGUGUAAUGGCAUAAGGCGGCUUAACUGCGAGACAGACAAGUCGAGCAGGUGCGAAAGCAGGACAUAGUGAUCCGGUGGUUCUGAAUGGAAGGGCCAUCGCUCAACGGAUAAAAGGUACUCCGGGGAUAACAGGCUGAUUCCGCCCAAGAGUUCACAUCGACGGCGGAGUUUGGCACCUCGAUGUCGGCUCAUCACAUCCUGGGGCUGUAGCCGGUCCCAAGGGUAUGGCUGUUCGCCAUUUAAAGUGGUACGUGAGCUGGGUUCAAAACGUCGUGAGACAGUUUGGUCCCUAUCUGCAGUGGGCGUUGGAAAUUUGAGGGGGGCUGCUCCUAGUACGAGAGGACCGGAGUGGACAGAUCUCUGGUGUACCGGUUGUCACGCCAGUGGCAUCGCCGGGUAGCUAAAUCUGGAAGAGAUAAGCGCUGAAAGCAUCUAAGCGCGAAACUCGCCUCAAGAUGAGAUUUCCCCAAGGCUUUAAGCCUUUUAAAGGGUCGUUCGAGACCAGGACGUUGAUAGGUCGGGUGUGGAAGCGCAGUAAUGCGUUAAGCUAACCGAUACUAAUUGCCCGUAAGGCUUGAUCCUAUAACCUGAGACGCGU
rnacentral:rRNA from 1 species